CAGCAGACACAUUCCAGCCAAUCAGCAGCAGACCCUCCCUCUCAGACCCUCCCACCUCCUGGACAGCAUCCAUUGUGAAGCUGCAUUCUUAGUGAGCUGUCCAGGAGGUGGGAGGGUCUGGGAGGGAGGGUCUGCUGCUGAUUGGCUGGAAUGUGUCUGCU